GGAUAAUCCGUGCUGCUGUGGCUUACACUGAAGAGAGGAACUGCAGCUGAACCUUAAAUAGAUGAUGAGGACUGAACAAAUUUGUCUGUGAAGCUUUAUGAACAGAAUUAAGUGAGGCAUAGAAAACUAAGAAACACUAGCUGGAAGAAUAAAAGCAAGAGARUCGGAUGAGGCCUUGAGGAUGAACGUACGUGGGAGUUUGGAAUAAAAUUGUGGAAAAGAAGAUAGAAGCAACAUUGUGGGCUGAAAACAGAGGAACUUGUCUCACAGCUCUGAUGCCAUCUAGAAUUGUUUGC
rnacentral:lncRNA from 1 species